AUGGGUGUGACCCUGCUGGAGUCCGGGGGGGACCUCCAGCCCCCCGGGGGGUCCCUGCGCCUCCUCUGCCGAGGCUCUGGGUUCGAUUUCGGGAGCUCUUCCAUGUGCUGGAUGCGCCAGAGACCCGGGCAGGCACUGGAGUGGCUCGCAGGGAUCUACCCUGAUGGCAGCACCAGGUACGCGCCGUCGGUGCAGGGCCGGGUCAGGAUCUCCAGGGACAACGGGCAGAGCUCGGUGACGCUGACCAUGAACAACCUCAAGGACGAGGAUUCCGGAUCCUAUUUCUGUGCCAAACAUUCUGGCAGACCCUUCUCCCAGCCCUCAGCUCUCGGCUCUUUGUUGCAAGUCUCACCCAUUUGUACCAAUCGUGAGGACUGA